rnacentral:piRNA from 1 species
UUGAGCGCAGAAACGAUGGAAAGUGA